GAACGCAUCUUGCGCCCUUUGGCCAUUCCGAAGGGCAUGCCUGUUUGAGUAUCAUUGUACUCUCACUCUCCCGAUACUUUUGGAUCGGGAGUGGUGGACUUGGGUGCUGCUGCUUAACUGUGGCUCGCCUCAAAUGAAGUAGUGCAACUCUCGGUUGGACAUAGUACGGCGUGAUAAGUAUCUUCGCCGGCGCCUCAUUCGAGGGUGGCCGAUCGGGAGCUCUGUGCUUCAAACCGUCUUCGGACAAUAUCUGACAACUUGACCUCAAAUCGAGUAGGACUACCCGCUGAACUUAAG
rnacentral:misc_RNA from 1 species